AUACUUACCUGGAUGGGGUCUAUGAGCGAUCAAGAAGGCUCAUGGCCUAGGCUGGUGAUCUCCAUUGCACAAAGGAGGGACGCUAGCUUACCAUCUCCCCAAAGUGGGAGUGGACAUCAUAAUUUGUGGAAGUGGGGGUACGCGUUCGCGCGGCCCCUAU
rnacentral:snRNA from 1 species